UACGGAGGAUCCAAGCGUUAUCCGGAUUUAUUGGGUUUAAAGGGUGCGUAGGCGGCCCUGUAAGUCAGUGCUGAAAUAUCCCGGCUUAACCGGGAGGUGGCAUUGAUACUGCAGGCUUGAGUGAAGUCGAGGUAGGCGGAAUUGACGGUGUAGCGGUGAAAUGCUUAGAUAUCGUCAAGAACACCGAUAGUGAAGACAGCUUACUAGACUUAACUACGCUGAGGCACGAAAAGUG
rnacentral:rRNA from 1 species